rnacentral:rRNA from 1 species
CAGUAGCCGCGGUAAUACGAAGGGUGCAAGCGUUUAUCGGAAUUACUGGGCGUAAAGCGUGCGUAGGCGGUGAGUUAAGUCUGCUGUGAAAUCCCCGGGCUCAACCUGGGAAUGGCAGUGGAUACUGGCUCGCUAGAGUGUGUCAGAGGAUGGUGGAAUUCCCGGUGUAGCGGUGAAAUGCGUAGAGAUCGGGAGGAACAUCAGUGGCGAAGGCGGCCAUCUGGGACAACACUGACGCUGAGGCACGAAAGCGUGGGAAGCAAACAGGAUUAGAUACCCCAGUAGUCCCUGUCUCUUAUAC